rnacentral:rRNA from 1 species
GGAUUAGAUACCCUGGUAGUCCACGCCGUAAACGAUGUCAACUAGCUGUUUGUGUUCUUGAAACGUGAGUAGCGUAGCUAACGCGCUAAGUUGACCGCCUGGGGAGUACGGCCGCAAGGUUAAAACUCAAAUGAAUUGACGGGGGCCCGCACAAGCGGUGGAGCAUGUGGUUUAAUUCGAUGCAACGCGAAGAACCUUACCUACACUUGACAUCCAGAGAACUUACCAGAGAUGGUUUGGUGCCUUCGGGAACUCUGAGACAGGUGCUGCAUGGCUGUCGUCAGCUCGUGUUG